rnacentral:misc_RNA from 1 species
GUGAUGGGAGGAGGAUAUCAUUAAGGGGAGAAAUUACCGAUAGGCGGAGGAGCAUUUCAUAAGUCGGAGUAGGUAUCAAGUAGCGUGGGGGGUGGGAAUAACGGCUUCCUGAGCGCUGAACUUACAACCAAUUUUUUAUCAACUUGUCACACCAGAUUAUUACUAAUAGACAAAACUUUCAACAUCGGAUCUCUUGGUUCUCGCAUCGAUAAAGAACGCAGCGAAAUGCGAUACGUAAUAUGAAUUGCAGAUAUUCGUGAAUCAUCGAAUCUUUGAACGCACAUUGCGCCCUCUGGUAUUCCGGAGGGCAUGCCUGUUUGAGCGUCGUUUCUCCCUCAAACCGCUGGGUUUGGUGUUGAGCAAUACGACUUGGGUUUGCUUGAAAGACGGUAGUGGUAAGGCGGGAUCGCUUUGACAAUGGCUUAGGUCUAACCAAAAACAUUGCUUGCGGCGGUAACGUCCACCACGUAUAUCUUCAAACUUUGACCUCAAAUCAGGUAGGACUACCCGCUGAACUUAAGCAUAUCAAUAUGCGGAGGAACAGAUUGACCUCGGAUCAGGGUAGGGAUACCCGCUGAACUUAAGCAUAUCAAUAAGGCGGAGGA